GUUGCAAUACAACAUCAGUGUCUCAUCUUUAAUACCAACUUUCUAACCCUUUUACAUCACUUGAACAGAACUCCGUGGUGACCAUGAAACUACUAUUCCUAGUGAUGUGCCUGAUUGGACUUUGUUCUUCCAUUCCUAUGUCUGAGGAACAUGAUCGAGAGGAGCGCUCGGCUAGUGAUGAGAUGUUCAGGGGUAAUGGGCGUGGUUUGGGAGGGUUUUACCACUAUCAGCCACCACAGUACCCACCAUACUUCCCUUAUGCCCAGCCUCCCCAAAGUAACUCCGCCCUGAUGGCCCUCCUGCCCUUCCUAUUUGCCAGACUCGCUGCCACUCCUGUAGCAACUCCUGCUGCAGCUCCCGCGCCAGCUGCCGCUGCCACACCGGCCCCAGCAGCAGGUGGAAAAUGAGAUGGGCGUCGCCAGAGGAACCAGAGAGAAAACUCUGACUCCCAUGUCUCCACCUUGUUUACUUAAAUUAUGUUGAUAUUAGU